CGUAAACAGAGGGAAGCGAGCCCGCGAGGGGGAGCGAAUCCCAAAAAUAACGUCCCAGUUCGGAUUGUAGUCUGCAACCCGACUACAUGAAGCUGGAAUCGCUAGUAAUCGCAGAUCAGAAUGCUGCGGUGAAUACGUUCCCGGGUCCUGUACACACCGCCCGUCACACCAUGGGAGCCGGGAAUGCCCGAAGUCGGUGACCCAACCGUAAGGAGGGAGCCGCCGAAGGCAGGCCUGGUAACUGGGGUGAAGUCGUAACAAGGUACC
rnacentral:rRNA from 1 species